ACAGCCCAGAUCAUCGUUUAAGGCCCCUAAAUGUAUACUAAGUGAUAAAGGAUGUAGGAUUACAUAGACAACCAGGAGGUUUGCUUAGAAGCAGCAAUUUCCUUUAAAAAGUGCGUAAUAGCUUACUGGUUAAGUGAUUCUGCGCCGAAAAUGAAUGGGACUAAGUAUACUGCCGAAAACAUGAGAUUAAAAUUCAGUAGAGGAGCGUUCUGUUUUUGUUGGAAUCAAUAGUGUGAACAAUUGUGGACUAAACAGAAGUGAGAAUGUCGGCUUAAGUAACGAAAACAUUGGUGGAAAUCCAAUGCCCCGUAAAUCUAAGGUUUCCUUCGCCAGGUUCGUCCACGAAGGGUUAGUCAGGAUCUAAAGCGAGGCUUAACAGCGUAGUUGAUGACCAACAGGUUAAUAUUCCUGUACCUUGUUUUAUUUGCUAAGAGUGACGAAAAAGGCUAUCCCAGCCAGAUUUUGGUAAUGCUGGUUUAAUAUUUUAAUACUACGACGAUAUCAAACUAUCUGAGUUAAGAAAUAGAGUACGAAAAGCACUACGGUGUUUUAAGUGGGUUACGUCAUAUUUCCUAGAAAAACUUCGCUAGCGUUAAAUAAAGCAUUGCCUGUACCGAAAACUGACACAGGUAGGUUUGUAGAGAAUACUAAGGGGCGCGAGAUAACUGUUUCUAAGGAACUCGGCAAAAUGACUCCGUAACUUCGGGAGAAGGAGUGCCUUUUAAUUUUAGAAGGCUUCAAUAACCAGGCCCAAACGACUGUUUACCAAAAACACAGGUCUCCGCUAAGUUGAAAAACGAUGUAUGGGGGCUGACGCCUGCCCAGUGCCGGAAGGUUAAAGAAGUUGGUUAGCGUAAGCAAAGCUGAUAACUGAAGCCCCGGUGAACGGCGGCCGUAACUAUAACGGUCCUAAGGUAGCGAAAUUCCUUGUCGGGUAAGUUCCGACCCGCACGAAAGGCGUAACGAUUUGGGCGCUGUCUCGGAAACAGACUCGGUGAAAUAGAAUUGACUGUGAAGAUGCGGUCUACUCGCACUUGGACAGAAAGACCCUAUGAAGCUUUACUGUAUCUUGAAAUUGAUUUUGGGCUCUUUUUGCGCAGAAUAGGUGGGAGGCUUUGAUUCUCUUUUUCGGAAGUAGAGGAGCCAAAAUGUGAGAUACCACUCUUAAAGGGUUAGAGAUCUAAUGAUAUAAUCAAAAUAUUUGACAUUUUCAGGUGGGCAGUUUUACUGGGGCGGUAGCCUCCUAAAAAGUAACGGAGGCGCACAAAGGUUCUCUCAUCCUGGACGGAAAUCAGGUGAAGAGUGUAAAGGUAAAAGAGAGCUUGACUGCAAGACAUAUAAGUCGAGCAGAGACUAAAGUCGGUCUUAGUGACCCGACGAUGCUGAGUGGAAAGGUCGUCGUUCAACAGAUAAAAGUUACUCUAGGGAUAACAGGCUGAUCUCCCCCAAGAGUUCACAUCGACGGGGAGGUUUGGCACCUCGAUGUCGGCUCAUCGCAGCCUGGGGCGGUAGUACGUCCCAAGGGUUGGGCUGUUCGCCCAUUAAAGCGGUACGUGAGCUGGGUUCAGAACGUCGAGAGACAGUUCGGUCCAUAUCCGGUGUGAGCGUUAGAGCAUUGAGAGGAUCUUUCCUUAGUACGAGAGGACCGGGAAGGAUGUACCGCUGUUGUACCGGUUUUCACACCAGUGGAAAAUGCCGGGUAGUCAAGUAUAGAGUGGAUA
rnacentral:rRNA from 1 species